CAUAGCUUUGUGAUGGCCUAGAAAAGGUGUUGACACAAAGUGAUUUCUGCCCAGUGCUUUUGAACGUGAAUAUGAAGUAAUUUGUAGAAGCUCAGGUAAACGGCGGGAGUAACUAUGACUCUCUUAAGGUAGCCAAAUGCCUCGUCAUCUAAUUAGUGACGCGCAUGAAUGGAUCAAUGAGAUUCCCACUGUCCCUAUUUACUAUUUUAGCGAACCCACAGUCAAGGGAACGGGCUUGAAAUAAUCAGCGGGGAAAGAAGACCCUGUUGAGCUUGACUCUAGUCCGACUUUGUGAAAUGACUAACGAAGUUUAGCCUUAGGUGGGAGCCAACGCGCCAAUGAAAACCACUAUUUGUUACGUCAUUUUACUUACUCCGUAAAGAAGUGAUCGGUUUACCGAUUCUAGAACUAAGGGUAGUUUACUGCCUGAGCUUUGCGGAAGACACGGUCAGGUGGGG
rnacentral:rRNA from 1 species